GAAGGGGGCUAGCGUUGCUCGGAAUUACUGGGCGUAAAGGGCGCGUAGGCGGACAGUUAAGUCGGGGGUGAAAGCCCGGGGCUCAACCUCGGAAUUGCCUUCGAUACUGGCUGUCUUGAGUACGGGAGAGGUGUGUGGAACUCCGAGUGUAGAGGUGAAAUUCGUAGAUAUUCGGAAGAACACCAGUGGCGAAGGCGACACACUGGCCCGUUACUGACGCUGAGGCGCGAAAGCGUGGGGAGCAAACAGGAUUAGAUACCCUGGUAGUCCACGCCGUAAACGAUGAGUGCUAGUUGUCGGCAUGCAUGCAUGUCGGUGACGCAGCUAACGCAUUAAGCACUCCGCCUGGGGAGUACGGUCGCAAGAUUAAA
rnacentral:rRNA from 1 species